GUUGCUCCAGAGAGAAGACAGCCAGAGUCAUGUCAGCAAGUGGAGAGGGCAAAGCGCGUGCUUCUAGAGCAGACCAGCUACACAGAACCACAGUGCACAGAGCCCUGACCUGGGAGGCAGAAAGAUGGACAAAGGUGUCAGGUGUUGAAUAUGUUCUGGAGGCUAGAAGAAAGAACCCUAGACAGGAUGGGUGCGUUUCAUCUGGAGCUGACUGUGUCACACCCAAAGAGCAGUUAAUUUGCAGGGGACAAACAGGCUAGAGGAAGAGAUGGGACAAAUGUUUCACUUCAGCAACUACAAGGGGAUCAUCAGUCAUGUCGGGAGAUGUGCCCAGUGGAGGCAUCAUCCAAAAUGAGUGGCUGAGAGAGGGAUGUAGAAGCAGCAAUACUGUCCACAUCACAUUUGUGAAAAUAGAGAGAGCUGGGGUCCUUCCACUCUCUGGAAGCUUGCUCCUCUUGACACUGAUAUAACACUACUUGCCCAAAUUCAUUUGUUCUUCAUUAGCAGAAGCACAUCUGUUCUUCCAGUAGCCCACAUGAACUGUGUAAGUCUGUAUAUGCAUGUGUGAGUGUGUAUAUGAGUGUGAGUGAGUGUGCCUGUGAGUGUAAAGUGCCCAGGGAUGGUCCAAGAUACUCCAAAGAUGGGGAAACUAAGGCUUUCCUCAUAGUUCAUGUUUUCUCAUUUGUUUUUGUUUUGAAAGUAU